rnacentral:tRNA from 1 species
ACCUGGGUGGCUCAGUCGGUUGAGCAUCUGACCUUGGCUCAGGUCAUGCAUGAUCUUGCAGUUCGUGGGUUCGAGCCCCGCAUCGGGCU